rnacentral:miRNA from 1 species
UGAGAUCAUUGUGAAAGCCGAUU